CAUUCUCUGGGGUGCGCGCCAGUUCAUCAGAUCCCCUGAGCCGAUGUUUAAUCCUAUGGGUUGUGGUUGUUUUUCGUGGUGUGCAUGUCCGCUAGUCGGAAAGCCUAAAAUGAAAACGCUGCUUCCCCCUUGAACCCCCGGGUUCAAGGGCCAAGAUGGACAGCGGCACCUCGGAGAGUCU
rnacentral:other from 1 species